UCCCCCAUUUCAGGGCCAUUUCUCAUCCCAACACAGGCACUGGGGAGGGAAGGGAGGAAAAUUAAAGUGCUGCAAAAAAACCCAUUAUUGCAUGGCACCACAAGGGCGAAAUCGGUUAAAUAUUGCCCCCCUAGUUCCCCAAAUCUGACUCUGGCCCCUUACACAUGACUGCAGUGAACAAGGCAAAGCUGGGAGCAGCCUCCAGCUGGGGCAGCUUGUGCCAGGAACUGAGACCAGGAACAACCAGGGGUGGUUCAAGGGCAGGCAGCUUCACCCUGUGCGACAGCCAAUCCCCAGCACUCCUUUCUCCUCGCCAGGAGGGCAGCAUGGCCACAGCAGUCGCACAAAACCCCUGUGCUGACACUGGCCAGAGCUUCAUCUCUUGCUGUUGAAGAGACAAAAAACCCUCAGAAGGCAAUGGGUGAGCCACCAGAGGCUAUGGUCAUAAAGACUUUUGGAGGACUGGAUGAGACCUGUGAGAUGAGUGAAGCCGAGCGGCGCCGCAUUGAGGCUGACUUUGAGCGGCUGCGCCGGCUGCUAGCGGAGCAGGAGCGCACCGUGCUGGGGCGGCUGGCUGAGCUGGACCACACCUUCGCAGCUACCCACGCCGAAAAACCAUUGCGGGUGACCGAGGGGGUUGCACAGCUCCACAGACUCAUCGGACAGCUAGAGGCCAGGUGCUUGCCCCAGGUCAGCCUUCACAAGGCAUCAGUGGCUUCCGCCCCAACCGGCAGUUGGCCAACGUGGUGGUGGCCGUGCAGGAGGUGGCUCUACAGCUGGUGCAGGAUCUGUGCCACAGGCACCAACGAUCCCUCACUCUCUUCUGUCACAGUGAUGGAGUCCUUAUCUGCACCACCUGCGCCAAGCAUUGCGCCAACUCUGCCGUGCUGCUCGAAGAGGCCGCUCGCUGCUACAGGGAGUAUAAACCCCUUUUCCCUGCAGAAGCAGUUUGAAGCUUCCCUAAAAACCCUGCAAGAGGAGGACAAGCGAUGUGCUGGGCUGACUGAGGCAGCAAAGGAGACAAGACAGGAGAUGCUGGUGGGUGGUGCUGCCAUCUGGGUGCACCAUGGGGGCCACACUGCUUCAUUCCCCCUCCAGCAUCCUCCUCCUUCAUCCCCCAGACUUGAAUCAGUGCUGAAAAGCAGAAGCUGUGAGUGAUGCUGAAAGGGCCCUGCCAGGUGCUGAGUUCCAGGAAUCACAGUUUCUUUCCCGGUUCCAUCGCCUGUGCUGGAGGUUGGAGGAACAGCAACAUGGUGAAGCUGCCGAGAUGUCAUGGAUCCAGCAAUGCCACGCAGAGCUCCAGGCCAAGUGCCAGCAACCAGAUGGUGACCUGCUACGGGAUGUCUGAACCACCUUGAACAGCUAUUUGAGCCAAGAAACAUCACCAGGAACACCAGUUUUGGCCCCAAGCCCUCAAUUUUUUGGAUCAUCUUCUCCCCCUGUGGUCUUUUCCUCUGGGAUUUUUGAUUUGGAGCUAAUGAUGGGUUGAUGGUUAAUCCAAAAUUUGGUUAUGAUGGGGGAAUCUUCCAUCAUAUCUUGCAGGAGUGGGAGCCUUGCCCAUGGAAGUAACGAUGUCCCAGUGGUUCUCUAGCAAUGGGAAAAGAAAAUUUGGGAAUUUCUUGGCAUGAAACACCCCAGUUUACUCCCCUCGAGGUGCACAGAGAGGAAGAUGUGUUGGAGUGCUCUCUGGAGGAAGCCUCAGAGGGAUACUGGAGAGGUGAGUCUGGCUUCAGGGACUUACUGAACCCCCAUUUGGGUUCAGUGCCUGGAGCUGAUGCUCUGGUGCAAUUUUUGGAGGUGAUAUUCCAAUGCAUAGAGGCUCAUGAACAUCCCUCUCCCUGCCAGCAGCUGUGACUCGAUCCAGUCACAGCUCACCCCCAAAUCCUGGUGUCAUUGGAUGGCCGGACUGCAGGCCACCAGGAAUCACCCCCAGCUCCUCUGCCCUCAGGAGUGGAGUGUUUUGAAUCUCUCUGCUAUGUUUUGGGUCAGCAUGACUUUGUAGGGGACUGUCAUUGCUGGGCCAUGAAGGUUUGUCCUGGUCCUGACUGAGCACUGGGAGUAGCUUGGGAAUUUGUGUCCCAGAAGGGCUGCUUCGGUCUCAGCCCCAAACAAGGGGUUUGGGCUAUGGGGCAGUGGUUGGGGCAGCUGGAGGCUCUCACCUGACUCAGCCCUAUGUCUCUGCCCCACAACCACACUGUCUGAUGCAUUGAGGUGGCUGUGGAUUACCCUGGCGGGUGGAUGGCUUUCCGUGAUGCUAAUAGUCAGACUGAAGUCUUUGCCUUUCCCCCACCCACUUUAACACUCUGGCCACUGCUCUGUCUGGGCAAGGGGCCAGCUUUGCUUACCCUCUGUCCAUGAGUCCCCCCAAAAUGCACUAUGAACCUCCCAAGUGUAAACAAUUCCACCAUCCCAGCAAACACUCCACUCAACAUCAAACAGCCCCACUCCUCCAACAGCCUAUUUAAUUUUCCUUAAAACAUCUAAUUUAACAAUCAUAUUUCACUCUUUUGCUUCUCAGUGGGAGAACAGAGGUAUUUUUAAUUCCUCAGCUGUUUGUCAGUGGAAGCAUGGACCAGACCAGGGAGAAUGUCCCUAAAAGAUUUUUAAAAACUCACCUUGAGGAAGAAAAUGGGCUUUGCUGGUGCUGCUAGAUGUCUCAUGAUAAGUUUUUGCAAGUGGAAACUUUUCUCCUUGGGAUUUGUAGAGAAUUUAGGGGAAGUGGGUUAAAACCAUGUUUCACGUCUCUCAGGAUCACUCAGGCUUGGGCCUUUUCAGGGCUUUGUAUUCACUGCCAGGAUGUAAGCAGGGAGAGAGGCCACAGACAGAAUUUCAUCCCCCAUUUCACUGCCUGCAAGUGAAUAGAAGGGGAACUAAAACUAAAUGAACCGUAAUCUUGAAGCAGCAGAAGGUUGUUGUUAGGACUCAACCAUGUAAUAAAGUGCUGUUAUCAGCAAGCCCAGACAGGACUGGGCAGGUCUCUGCCUCUUGCAGUCCCAGUCACUCCUUUGCUGCCAGAAUUGCUUCCCCAUCCAUGUGCACUCUUCACCUUGGUGUGAGGAAGAGGAGAAACUACCAGGAAAUGCAGCAACUUUUAUCUUUGGGACCCUAAUUUUAGACAAGUGUCCUGACAAAACACAGAUCACAGCUAAACCCACAUUACAGCCCUGCUCAGUUGUAUAAUUAGUUUUUUCCCUGUUUGGUUCAUGGUGAGGUUGGUGUUUCCUUGAAAGACAAGGUCCAGUGAUGUGUAAAGUGAUGUUGGUUUGCAGCAUCCUGCUCCAACAGAUGAACUUCCAAGACUCCAUCCACUUUUCAUCUGAAAAGCUUUAUGGAUAUUUAAUUUGAAAGUAAAAAAAAAAAAAAACAAAAACCCCCCAAACAAAACCAAAACAAAAACCCAAACAAACAAACAAACAAACAAACCUCCAAAAAACCACCAGAAACCACCCAAAACCACAAACAAACAAACAAAAAAACCAACAAAAAAACCCCUGCCUUUUUGUAACUCAGUAACCCCACAGUUUGCUCUCCAGCAUUGGAGGGGCAAGGAAAUCAGCCUCUUUUUGCUCAAGGGCAGCUCCACAGUGUCCUGUCAGCAGCUGGGAGAGCAGAUGGUUGGGUAUGGAGGGUGCACAGCCCCCAGUGCUUGAGCAGAGCACUAGCUCUUGAGCAGAGCUAGCAGAUGCACCUUGCAGCCCUCACACAGGGACCUCAAAAUCCUCCUGAGUGACAGGCACACCUCAUACCAGCUGAUGAAAGAAGCUGUGGGGAGUAGCUGAAGGGUUUUUUUUCUGCCCAGGGGUGGAAGAUUUUUCCACAAAGCUAGAGCCCAGGGUAGAUUUUGUGGAGGUCUGUGGCUUGAGGAUGAGCAUUCCCACAGGGGAGUUUUAGCCAUUGCCUCCUGCUUCUUGGAGAGAAGCUGUUCCUCUUCCACUAACACCUCAGGAGCAGACUGGGAACUGUGCAUCCAAGGGAAGUGCAGCAGGCAUGGAGGGGCAAACCUAAGAGAGGACUACAGGUCCUCCAGGAUGUUAAUCUUCUCAUGCUCCUCAUUGAGGUCCACUGUAAGUGGAAAGAGGUGGAUUUUGGGGAUGGGUUUACAACUGUUCAACUUUUUAUCAACUGUUAAUGAUUUCUUGGUGUUGGUGGGUGCUUAUAAAAAUGGAGAUCAAAAGGCACUUUUUAAAAUCAGCAGCUUGUUAUAUCCAGAAGGCAGAAAAUACAGCUCCAGUGCGCAAACCAGAGGGGUGUCUGUGGUUUUAAUCCUCUGGUUUUGGGUAUGUUUGCUCCAUUUUGGGCCUUCUGCCCAAGGGAGCAGCUAGCACACUGGGAGAUGGGAAUUUUCCGCCUUGAAACAAUGCUCACAGGGAAGAAAUCCCCAAAUUAGGGAGGAACUUGUUAAAGAAAUGGUGGCCUCUGCACUGCUGCCUUGAGGAGAAAGUGCUCCCCAACCCCUUUGUUUUUGUUGGAGGUUGAUAAACCCCCAACCCCUUUGUUUUUGAGAAGACUGUCCCCUUUUAAAUGAAAAUAAGACUUCUUGUUUUCAGCACUAGCAGUGGACAUGGGGAAGAAACAGCUCCAAAAAUAUUCCUAAACCCUUCCAGAAUUAGCCUAUAUGCUGCUUGGAGGGGAGGGGAGGCUUAAGUUUUUCAGGUGUUACCAGUUUGCCCAGUUGCCCCCUCCAGGGGCCUUUUCCCCUCUUCUUACCCAGUUUAUUGGGAUAAAAUGUUAUAAUUUCAUUUAUUUUUUCCCAUUUUAUAAUUUCUCUUGCUCUGGUAAGAGGUUUUUUCUCCCCAGAAUGAAGCAAAGCAGAAUGUCUCUCCCUCCAAGUCCCUUCAUUUACCAAAAUUCUCUCCAAAAAAGCCACAUCUGAGGGUUUAUUUAAGCUAAAACGGGCUUUUUAAAACACAGGAUGAAACACUAUAGUGCAUUAUAGGGCCUUAGCAACAUGAAUAGAGCUAAUAGCUGGGUUGAGCAAAAGAGAUCUGAAUUUUGGGUAAUUUUUAGUUUUUGCCUUCUAUUCUGUAAAAUAGUCACUUGGUAUGGACCCAUGCUUUAGAUCUGAAUUUCCCACAUGGAGGAUUUUCCCCCUGGAACUACGGUGAGCCAGCUAUGCUUUGCUGCUCACCCAAAUCCUCCACACAAAAACUUAGCAAACUUCAAAAAAAAGUAUGAACUGAACUUUGUCUUUAAAUAAACUGGUUGAGCUCAGUGAUUUAUUGUGUCACUCAUAACCUGGGACUGGUGUCUUAAACAAGGUGGUUUUGAGCCACACUGCAGUGCUGCCCCAGGUGGGGCAGUCCAGGGAAUGGGGACAGGCAGAGGUGGGGAUAUUCAGGGAGAAAUUGAUCUGUGAGAACAAAGAC